rnacentral:pre_miRNA from 1 species
CUAGUACUCCCUCCGUUUGGAAUUACUUGUCGCAGAAAUGGAUGUAUCUAGACAUAUUUUAGUUCUAGAUACAUUCAUUUCUGAGACAAGUAAUUCCGAACGGAGGGAGUACAUG